ACUAGAAAUCUGGUACUACUGUUGCACAUUGAAGCAUCACAAGGAAGGAUUUCAACUUCUGAGUGGGUUGUGAAUCAAAUCCAUUCACCUGACUCCAAGCAGGUUCACCAAGGGGUCACUUUUCUACCCGAAAACAAAAUUUAGGAUCAUCAGUGACUCAAGGUACAAUUCUUUGGGACAGCAUCUUGACAGCCAUACCUGCAGAGUUGGACUUCUAUCCUCAAGAUCAGAGGUACACGCCCAUUAGCAUCCUGUCGUGUAUUUAGAGUCUCGGAAGCUUUGUACAGCAGUUCCCCUGUGUCCUAUCUGCAGCUUAUACGUCUAACUCUACUUGAUGCCUGCAGAUGGUGCAUCACCAGCAGCUUAGACGAAGGAGGAAGGAACUGCCUGGUGUUGUUAUUUUUGUGAUGUCCUCAUGAGAGAUUGAAAUUUGUGAGCAUCAUUAGAGCUGAUCCAGAUAAGACAAACAUAGAGCAUCCCAGUUGCUGGCAGUGUUAUAAGGACCAAAG